UAUUUCACAAGAGGCCAGAGAAACAGCCAGUCAGUCAGUUGCUAAACACAUUAAUCAGAUCUUCAGUGUUCCAGUUCACGCUGAGGUGACGCUGGUGUGGGAGAGCCCAGCCUGUUUGGAAUGGGACCAAAGGCUCUCUACAGUAGCUUCUCCCCCUGCUGUGAAGUGAUCUGUGAUUGUGCCACUGCACUCGAGCCUGGGUGACACAGCAAGACCUUGCCUCUUAAAAAAACAAAUCAGUGAACUUUGAGCAAAGCAGAUUAUCCUCCAUAAUGUCGGUGGACCUCAUCCAAUCAAUCGAAAGCCUUAAGAAAAAGAUAGACCUUCCCUAGGAAGAGGGAAUUCUGCCAGCAAACUGCUUUCAGACUCAAGAGGCAACAUCAAGUCUUCCCUAGGUUUCCAACCUGCUGGGGUACCCUGCAGAUUUUGGACUUGCUAGCCUUUACAGUCAUGUCCUGAUGGUAUUCUCUUUGGAGUGGUUGUAACAGAGGACCAAGGAAGUUUGAGCUGAGAUCGUGCCACUGCACUCCAGCCUGGGUGACAGACCGAGACUCCUCUGCGGGCAGAAAGAAAGAAAGAAAAAAAAGAUUGUCCUCCUUCAACUCUUUUUUUUACUAUUAAAUGAGAGUUUUGUAUUAAACUAUUCAGAAUUAGGUUGUCCUUGUUUUUAGGUUCCCACACUAUCUCUUUUGAAUAAAACAGGUUGUUGGGACAGCCCUUAGGGUUUUUGUCAAAUCAUUUCUCAUGUGAAUCCCCUUCAUCCUCACUGUCCUUCACUUCAGAAACUGGUAUCUGAUAAUGAUGAUUUAGAGGUCAUUUCUGCUGACCUCAUCCCUGAAUCAGAGGGAACAGCAAGGUGUAAGUUCUAAGUUUGGGGCCCACACCAUAUCAAAUUUAGGCCUGGGGAAGGCAGUAUGGCUCUUUCCAAACCCUCCAAAACACUACUGGGCUCCAAGACUGCUCAAGGUCUCACUGAUAGUCAAGGCUUGUGCUCCCUUUUUCAGAAGAGCAAGAUUAAAGAAAACUACUGUGAAUUAAAAAGUGUGGGCACCAAGAUGGGACGGGAGUCCCCUCUCACCCUAUGGAUGACAUGGAGGGGGCAGAAGAUUGUAGAAUUGGCCUUGUCCCGCAUGGAAGCUGGGCCACCCACGGUGGCCUGGGAAGUCUCUCAGAUGCUGGAUUCUAAUGGGCUCUUGAUCACCUUGGAUUGGGCUAUUUCACUGUUAUCACAAAAUAAACAGGACGCUCAAAGUCAUGUUAUGGCAGAGAACCAACCAGCUUCACACUGGUCCUCUAAACCAAUCCUCACAACAGGGCUGGGAGACAGGUGUUACCUUUCCACUUUACAGAGAAUGAAACAGAGAGGCAAAGCCUUCGAAGGACCCUACACUUCGGACAUUGCAAAGCAGGAUCUGAGUCCCGGCUCCUCCGUCCAACUAGACUUUCUUUCCCAUGUCUAGACUAUAGCUGGAAAGGUCCUGGAGGGCACAUUUUAGGCCAACCCUCUCCGUUUACAAUCCAGAGAGCGGAGACCCCCGAGAAGCCAAGUGACUUGUCCGAGGCUACGCGGCGAGUGUGUGGCAAGGUGAGAGGGGAGACCGAGAUGCCCUGGUCUCUCCUUUCUCUCGCAGGUUCCUUUUUCCCCGUGCACAGCCCGCAGGGGACGCUGGAGGAGGAGCUGAGCCGGAGUUGCCGAGGCCCCGGGCCGGGGCGUUCCGGGGGCGGUCCCCAGCGGCCGCGCAUUCCAAAGCCAGUGGCGCGUCCCGGACGCUCUUGCGCGCUCCCGCCUCCCGGGGCAGCCGGGGCACGUUCCGGGCGCUGCCUGGGGCUGAGGUUCCUGGCCUGGGGGUCGCUUCCAGCCGCCAGAUCCCAUGCAGUUCUGGGGACCCUGAGAAGCACCGAGCCAUCCCUGCCCCAGGAACUUUCCGCAGACUCGCCGCCAUCUGGAAGUGAAGCAACAUGGAUGCAGUUAGCCAAGUCCCCAUGGAAGUCGUGCUUCCCAAGCACAUCCUGGAUAUCUGGGUUAUUGUCCUCAUCAUCCUGGCCACCAUUGUCAUCAUGACCUCGUUGUUGCUGUGCCCAGCCACUGCAGUCAUCAUCUAUCGCAUGCGGACUCAUCCAAUCCUCAGUGGGACUGUUUGAGAGCCUCCCAAGAGGGCUGGGUGAGGGGUGAUGACAGGCAUCCUGUCCCCAGACUCUUCCUGUCUUCAGAAAAGCAGCAGGAGGGACUCUGGGGCAUGGACCUGAGUUCUGGUUUUGAUUCUGCCAUGAGCCAGCUGUGUGAAUUUGUUCAAGAGACCUAACUCUCUGAGUUCCAGGUUCCUUAUCUUUCAAAUGGGGAUGGUGAUCCCUGCCCUUCCUACCUCAUAGGGGUGUGAGAACCACCUGCCUUAGUGGAUGUGAAAGCUGUUUGUGAGCAGUAAAACUGCCACAGAUAUAAAGGUGUUAUGCUGAGUGCUGAGAAGCUUUGAAGAACCAGAGAACCUGAUUGCUGAUGAUGGCGUUAAAGGUGGUGAGGGAGAUAUUGGGGGCAGAGCAGACUUUGCCAGUGCCCCUCAGGUCAAACCAAGCCAAGAGCACCCUGUCCCCAUUCCAAGGGGCCAGCAGCACUAUGGCUGAAAGUUAUUUUCUUUAAGGUGCCAUUCCUUCAUGUUCCUUCAUGUUUUCUCAGUUUGGAAGGUGAUGGGUAGAGCUUUCCAGAACCUCCUCUAUUCCAGAAUCUCUGCCCUUGUGUAAUCUGAAGGAAGGCUGUGCCAUCUUUGGGCGCUGCCAAGGGAGUUGGGGUGAUGGGCUUCUUUCUGCACUGGGGUCUCACACCUGUUAGUGUUGACACUCAAGCAGUGUUGGAACAUGCAGAGUGACUGAGUUCCCUGCCCAGCUUUCGGGAUCUCUGGCCCCCAUCCCCUUGUGUGUGUGUGUCCCUCUGCCCAGCUCCUGCUGUAAUUAGCUCCACGUGUGCCCCUUCAUUCCCUCGUGCCAGCCCUGCAGCCAGCCUACAGCAAUUAUAUUUUAAGAGGUGUUCCCAGGCUUUUGGGACCUACUAAAACAAUGAUGGUUGUUUUAGAUGUGAUGAUUUAUAUCUAUGUAGAGCUGUUUCUGGACCACUCAAGCUCUUCAAUACCAAAAUCAGGAGCAUCUUGGGAUUUAUUAAAUUAUGUAAGAAGAUAGCACAGAUAUCGGGAUAUUAUUGUGUGAAAAUGCUGCUUUGACUUUGAUGUGAUCUCAUUGGUGUACACAACUGAUUUCCAAUAAAGUGCUAGAAUGUGCA